GAUGAACGCUGGCGGCGUGCUUAACACAUGCAAGUCGAACGGAAAGGCUCCUGCUUGCAGGGGUACUCGAGUGGCGAACGGGUGAGUAACACGUGGGUGAUCUGCCCUGCACUUCGGGAUAAGCCUGGGAAACUGGGUCUAAUACCGGAUAGGACGAUGGUUUGGAUGCCAUUGUGGAAAGUUUUUCGGUGUGGGAUGAGCCCGCGGCCUAUCAGCUUGUUGGUGGGGUAAUGGCCUACCAAGGCGUCGACGGGUGGCCGGCCUGAGAGGGUGUACGGCCACAUGGGGACUGAGUUACGGCCCAGACUCCUACGGGAGGCAGCAGUGGGGAAUAUUGCACAAUGGGCGCAAGCCUGAUGAAGCGACGCCGCGUGGGGGAUGACGGCCUUCGGGUGGUAAACUCCUUUCGCUAGGGACGAAGCGCAAGUGACGGUACCUGGAGAAGAAGCACCGGCUAACUACGUG
rnacentral:rRNA from 1 species